GUAGGUGAACCUGCGGAAGGAUCAUUAAAGAAUCGCCCCGUUUUUUGAAAUGGGUUCUAUUCCCAAACCGUGUAUACAUACCUUUGUUGCUUUGGCAGGCCGCCUCUCGAGGCGUCGGCUUCGGCUGACUGCGCCUGCCAGAGGACCCAAACUCGUUUGUUUAGUGAUGUCUGAGUACUAUAUAAUAGUUAAAACUUUCAACAACGGAUCUCUUGGUUCUG
rnacentral:misc_RNA from 1 species